rnacentral:lncRNA from 1 species
UAAAAAUAAAAAUAAAUAAAAAAACCUAAACUCUAAAAAAAACAUAAAAAUGCAAAAAGUAUAACAAAAUUAUUCAACUAAUAUCUACUCUUAAAAUAAAUCACACACUCUUACAUGUAAAUAUACUUAAAAACUAAAAUAAAAUAUAUAUAUAUAAAACACCAAAAUAAAAAAAAUAAAAAAACCCUAAAAUUCUAAAUUAUAACAUAAACAUCGUGCAAACAUUUUAACAACAUUAAUCAACUAACAUCUACUCUAAAAAUGAGUUAUAACAUGUAAAUCUACUCAAACAAAAAAA